rnacentral:rRNA from 1 species
UCCGGUGACUAUAUCGGCAGGGCAACACCCGUUCCCAUCCCGAACACGGAAGUUAAGCCUGCUGGAGCCGAUGAUACUGCACCUUUCAGGUGUGGGAAAGUAGGUAGUCGCCGGGA